rnacentral:lncRNA from 1 species
AGGCGCGGGGCCCCCGAGCUCCCCGCGGCGCUGCCGCGUCCUGCGGAGCGGAGCCCGGCCGGGGCGAGGGGCGACAAACCCCUGCGCCCCGCCGAGCCCACUCGUGGUGGGUGCCGCGAGGCAGCGGGAGCCCCAGCCUAGCGAGGGGCUUGCAGCAGGCACAGGCAAGGGGUGGAGGUGGUAGCUGUCUGAAGCAGCCAAGAUCUUCAGACGAUAUCGUUAGUUAUCAUCUUACCGUGCCAAAGUUUGCUGGGCUCCGUGCAGCACAGAGCAAAAUGACAUAUUCCCUGCCCCAAGGAGUUUACAAUCUAAAGUGGAUCUGACAACACGAGGGUGUGACAGGACACCAUGAGUUUGCAGCAACAGGAUCAUGCUGUUGAGGACUACAGAUGAGAAAAAGCGACAGCUCUGCCAGAGGCUUCUUGGGAUGGCAGGAUGGAUCUGACAAUGCAAGGUGUGACAGAAUGCCACAAGGUUGCAGCAACAGAAUCCUGGGAUCCAGUGCCCAGACAAAGAGCAACUGUAAGUUUAUGGAGUUUUCUCCACUAAAGAAACAGAUGACAAAACAAGAUGUACUAACCAACCAACUAGAAGAUGGCUUUUUACAACUUGACUCUCCAGUUGAGUUUGGAAGCAUUCCCAAUGCAAAUAUGAUGGCCAGAGGCCAGAUGCACAGCUAAUUAAGAGAGGUAGAGCUCACAAAUGCAAAAAAAGAAACUAGCGCUGGAGAAUGGAGAUUGAGGGUCCAGUCCCCACCCGCUGAUGUCAUUGGCAAAUGUCCCAUUGAUGUUGGAGAGAGUACAGCCAGACACCAUCCAGCACACUUUGUAUCAUAUUUAACUUUUCCAACUGAAUGAGUAACAAUGAAUGGCUUGAGUCCCUGGUUUAGUCAGUUCUGAAGUAAUGUGCAAAAUUAGCCUGCUCCUCAUGCCUGUCCACACGUAAUUAAAGAACAGCUACAUGAAAUUCAGUUUCAAUGAACAACUCUUUGGGGAUUGAAUCUACACGACCUACCUGGCUAAAUGGAUGAAUCUAGCUAUACAUCAUGACAGAAACCCUCGACUGCAGAUCUUUACAGAACUUCCUGCCAUUUAUAUCAGUGUGAGGUACGUACGUAUUACUGCGCUAAAGUACUUUGAAACUCUUUCAAAUCUUCCACUUGAACCAACAACUAAAGUUGCUCAUUGCCUGAAAGAGAACAGGGCCUUAAGUUUUCAAUUUUUAAAGAUACUGACCACAAGAAGACCUAGUUUGAAGUUUCUUUUUCAUAUUGUUUUCAUCUUCUCUGCUUGCCAUCUCUCACUUAAAUGAUAUUUUUGGCAAAUAACCAUUCACUCAAGAAACUUCCCAAAGCUAUUAAUAGAAAAUAUACUUAAAACUAUCAGAGACCUCAAAUGCUUUGUUUUUCACCUUCCAUGAUAUUUCAAACUGAUCUUCAAUUAUAAAAUGAGACCAGCACCAAAAUAAAAUGUUUAUUAUGUUUCUAAGCCA